AUACGGAGGAUGCAAGCGUUAUCCGGAUUUAUUGGGUUUAAAGGGUGCGUAGGCGGGACUGUAAGUCAGGGGUGAAAUACUGCAGCUUAACUGUAGCAUUGCCUUUGAAACUGCCGGUCUUGAGUACAGUUGAGGUAGGCGGAAUGUGGGGUGUCGCGGGGAAAUGCAUAGAUAUACCACAGAACGCCGAUUGCGAAGGCAGCUUACUAAGCUGUUACUGACGCUGAGGCACGAAAGCGUGGGGAUCAAACAGGAUUAGAUACCCUGGUAGUCCACGCUGUAAACGAUGAUUACCGGUUGUUAGCGAUAUAUAGCUAGUGACUGAGCGAAAGCAUUAAGUAAUCCACCUGGGGAGUACGUCGGCAACGAUGAAACUCAAAGGAAUUGGCGGGGG
rnacentral:rRNA from 1 species